UACGUAGGGUGCAAGCGUUUUUUUUAAUCGGAAUUACUGGGCGUAAAGCGUGCGCAGGCGGUGAUGUAAGACAGAUGUGAAAUCCCGGGCUCAACCUGGGAACUGCAUUUUGUGACUGCAUCGCUGGAGUGCGGCAGAGGGGGGAUGGAAUUUCCGCGUGUAGCAGUGAAAUCGUAGAUAUGCGGAGGAACACCGAUGGCGAAGGCAAUCCCCUGGGCCUGCACUGACUCAUGCACAAAAGCGUGGGGGAGC
rnacentral:rRNA from 1 species